rnacentral:rRNA from 1 species
GACGAACGCUGGCGGCGUGCCUAAUACAUGCAAGUCGAACGCAGUGGGGACGGGUGAGUAACACGUGGGUAACCUCCCCAUCAGAGGGGAUAACACUUGGAAACAGGUGCUAACCCGAUCCUGAUGGUUGAACCCGCGGUUCAUUAGCUAGUUGGUGAGGUAACGGCUGACCAAGGCAACGAUGCAUAGACGACCGUAGAGGUGGAUCGGCGGCACGGGGACUGAGACACGGCCCAGACUCCUACGGGAGGCAGCAGUAGGGAAUCUUCGGCAAUGGACGAAAGUCUGACCGAGCAACGCCGAGUGAGUGAAGAAGGUUUUCGGAUCGUAAAACUCUGUUGUUAGAGAAGCGGUAUCUAACCAGAAAGCCACGGCUAACUACGUGCCAGCAGCCGCGGUAAUAC